rnacentral:tmRNA from 1 species
GGGGUCGACUUGGCUUCGACAGGAUUCUCUUCCCUUGAGUGCAUGUCAGCGCGGGAGGCUGUAAAACUCCCACUUGCAAUAAACGCAAACAACACAAAAUUCGCUCCAGCCUACGCAAAAGUCGCGUAAGCUUAACUAAUUUCGAGCCGAUUAUCCUAGCUAUACUAGCUCACUAGUGAUGGUCGUAACUUCUGCUAGUUGCGCUUGCAAUCUCGCUUUAGGAUUUUAAGCAAAGACUUAUAAAGCUUUUUGUGUGAGGGUUUUUAGGUUUAGCCACACAAGAAAUCUAAACCUAUGAAAGCAUGUAGAUUCUCUUGAUUUGGAGGUGAGUUUUGGACUGGGGUUCAACUCCCCACGACUCCACCA